rnacentral:tRNA from 1 species
GGCAAUGUGAUAUAGUGGGAAAUGCAUUUAUAAUUAGAGAGCCUGAGUUCAAAUCUCAGCUCUGCCA